GCUUCUUCUCCUCCUCUUUCGCCUCCUCCUCUUCCUUCGCUUCUCCUCCUCCUCCUCGUCUUCCUCCUUCUUCUCCUCCUCCAGUUCUCCCUCCUCCUCUUUCCCCACCUCCUCCCCCUCGGCCACCGCCUCCUCUCCACCACCAUCACUCCCUCCGGGACACCCUGGUCCCUGCAGAGUCCCCGGUCGGCGCCGCCUCCUCUGCGGCCCCCUAGAUUCCCCAGCCUGCCGAUCCCGGGCUUGGGGGAACAGACGGACACGCGGACACUACAUAUUCCUCGCGCCCAGCGCUUCCGCUCUGCUGCCCUCCGCAGCCCCGCGUCUGGGGAGCUGGAAUCGCCCCGGGAGCCUUCGAGGAUUCAUGAAGUGAGAACAUAGAUUUUUGAUUUGAGAUGCUUCUUUUCUAAAGUGGUCAAAUCAGACUCUAAAUUAUGAAAAAAACUGAAGAUGAGAGGCAGAACCACAAAAAGACCCUGUAGAAGGUCCUGGAGCUGAAAUGACCCCAGCACCCCAGGGAGACAGGUUCCUUCUGCCCUGGCUCCUGAUCAGGUUGAGACAACAUGGGGACAGGGUGAGUGCUCAGCAGAAGACUGGAAGCAGGGAGGACACUGAAGCUGAAAUGGGGAUGCCUCUGACUGCCUUCUCACAGAAUCCAGUGCGUGUUCACCCAAGGAAAGGAGGAGCUAUGGAAGCUGACAGCUACCAAUAGGGCACCUGAAUUCAAUCCCUGGUCAGGGAAUUAGAUUCCCACAUGCCACAGCUAAGAGUUUAAAUGCUGCAGCUAAAGAUCCUGCAGGGUACAGGAAAGAUCGAAGGUCCCACCUGCUGCAGGCAGUCGCAGCACUUGAGUUUGGAACUUCACUCCCAUUGGGCCUCCGUUUUAUAGAUGAGGAGACAUCCACAGAGGCACCAGAAAACCAAGUACCCAGAGAACCUAAUGGGGCUGGAGAAUAAGCCUGGCUGAAGAGGAUAAAACUCUGUUGCACUGUGACCAGCAGGAAGAAACUCCUGGCUUACAAAGGCAGGACUGGGCAGAGACCAGGUCUUCUAGCUCCCUGCCACCAGGCUGCCAUCCCUGAGAGCUUGAAACCUCUGAGGCCUCACUGUCCUACAAGUAGAUACUUGGAUGUGUCCUGCCCAUCUCUCCCUGCAGAGAUGUGGGUGUCUCCAUCCUGGUAGAGCCCAGGGUCUCCUGAAGACACAGGUCUGCAUGGAUAUGGGAGUCAGACACAUAAAAGGCUCCAGCCCCACAAUGGUGCUCUGCCCUUUGCCCUGUGGUAAGGAGACAGUGAAAACCAAGGAAACCAGCAGCACUUCCCAUCCACAGGGAUUAGUCCUCCUAGAAGUUACUGCUGAAUCUUAAAAUGAAAAGAAGUGCAAGCAACCUAAUGUCUCUGAUGGUGGCUCUCAGGCUCAGGAAGACCUUCUGAAUCUUAGAAGCGAACUGGGGGUCUGAGUCUGAUGCCUCUGUAGCAGGAUUUCGGGGUUUAGAAAUGGAUCCAGUGCUUCCCACCCCUCUCACGUGCCUGCAUUUUACAGUCGUGCCUGAGAUAGCUCUGUUGGGUGUAUUUCUUUGGGAUGUAGCACCGAACUGGGUUUAAGAAGUGUACAGCCGUUAACUGGAUGACAGUUACUGCCAUCUAGAGGGCAAACAAGAUGUGGGGAUACACACAGGAGGAAUAAGGCCUCCUGAGGACCAGGGAAGAGGUGAUGCUGGAGCUAGGAGUUAAGGAGCCAAGUAAAGGCAUGGAGAGAGAGCAUGGACAAGGUGUAGGAGCAUGGGACAUUCUGGAAAAUUCUAGACUAGGAUAUAGGGUGUGAGGUCAAGGGUAAGCUUAUGAUCAUGAAUGUCCUCCGACACAUUUAAGCUGUACCUUCUAAGAACUGAGCAAGCACAGACUAUCUCCCAGGUGAGCUAACCAUGACCAGAAAGAGGAGGGGACUUGUGAACCACACAUGCCCAGAGCCGAGCACAGUUUGGGUUUCUCUGCCACCCCCAGAGGACAGUGGCCCACUCACUUACCAGCUUCCUUACCACAGUCAGCUCCCUGGAGAAGGAGAAAGAUAAGAAAAGGGAAGGGCAAUGUGCAGAUGGUGCACUCAAGACCAGCCCAACCCAGGAGGUGACUGACAGCAGUUUGCAGGCUGGCCAUGAUCCAUCAGCCCCAAGUUAGAGUUGCUGGUGCCAGGACAGUAUUAGAAGGAGGGUGGUGUUGGCCCAGGAGACACCAUGCUUUGCCAGCGAGGCUUGAAGGGCAGGGCUCAGGACCCCAGAAGGCUUAUCACACCUGGACCAGAGGAAGCCCCUCCUUCACAGGCAGAGAGAUUCCGCAUGGAGGAAGAGUGAUGGUUUGGUCAGAGUUGCCACCUGCCAAUGCAAGAGACCCAGGAGACACAGGUUCGAUCCCUGGGUUGGGAAGAUCCUCUGGAGAAGGGAAUGGCAACCCACUCCAGUGUUGGAGCCUGGAGAAUCCCAUGGACAGAGGAGCCUGGUGGGCUACAGUCCACAGAGUCGCAAAGAGUCGAACAUGACUGGAGCAACUUCACAUGUAUGCAUGCAAGCACUCAGGCAGCCCAGAGAGCCACCUGGCUGCUUCCUCGGCUCCUAGGAGCCACAGGGCCCCCAAGAGAAGCAGGCACAAAAUCAGCAGGAGUUGGUUAUAACAGCUGCGCCCUCCUGUCUGCUCUCUCUCCCUCCCCCUCCCUUUAGUAAAAGACAACUCCCCUGAUUAGUUUCUGGUUGCCUGUCAUUGUUACUGACUUGUCAUCAAUCUCAAGGUGUACUGGGAUGCUUUAUAUUUACUUGGAGUUGCUUGCCUAGGCGUGCUGAGUUGGCAAUCCUAUUAGCAGAAUUUUUCUUUUCAUUGUGUUUGUGAAAUGAAAUAAAAUAAACAGGCCCUGUCUCUAGGGAGCUCUGCCUGCCUCAUUUCUCUGAACACUGUCAGGCUCCAGGGAGAUCCUAUGAGGUCUUUCGAUGCGGCCAAGGAUACACCUUUACCUUUGGUACUAAGAAGGCCUGGGAGGAAGGGUGGCUGGCUCCUCCAGCCAGGAAGAGAAUUGUGGUGAGGAAGAGAGUCCUGACUGGCCACAGUGAAGGGGUCCUGCAACUGAUCAUGGCCCAAGGCUGCGAUGCCAGACAGCGCAGGUAAGGCAGGGAGACAGGUCCUAGUCCCAGCUCUGCCCUUCCUACCUGGGAGCCUUGCGUGCUAAGUCAUUUCAGUCGUGUCUGA